UUAAGUUGGUGGAUCUAUACUGUCAUUAAAGUGUCUUUAUAUUUCCCAAUACUCAAACUGCUGAUAAAUGACACUUAUAUUUGUGCCACUUUGUUAUGUCGAUCCCCAAACUUAACAAUUUGUCAACCAAACUCUUUUACCCUUAAAAAUUAAACAUUUUAAACCCCGCUCAUCCUAUGUGGCAAUUUUUACUAAAGUGCGUGUGCUGCACUCGUUUAAGGAGCAUGAGGCCUAUUAAAAAGGUACCAAGAGCCAUUUUUUGGCUGUCAUCAUCUUCCCGGUUGUUCAUCCUCCAUUGUUGAACAAAAGUGAGCUUUUCUUCUUUGCUUUUCUCCCUCUCUCCAACAUUUUCUGUCCAAUUCUUUUUUUCUCUCUCUUCAAUAUUUUUUGUCCAAUUCUUUCUCCCCUCCCCUGAGUUUAGUAUUUCAUCGAACACCUGGUGUCUGUAAUUUUGUAGAUUUUGUUUUUUGAAUUGUUGUGACGAUUGAUUCAUUGUAGUUGUUGUUUGAUCGUUUGGCAUCAAUCAGUUGCUCAGUUGGAGUCAAUUGGCAUUGAUCUUGUUCAAUUUGGACACCUGUAGCUCCAUGCUCGACCAACUGGUGUUCGCCGGCCAUAUUCAGUUGGUUGGAGGAGACUAUUCCGGCAUUGAAAUUGUCUGAAACUUGGUCGUCGCAGGACACGGCCAUGGCAUGUGUCAGGACGUGUCAGGACGUCGCAGGACAUGGCCAUGGAACGAGUCAGGACGUGCCAGGACGUCGCAGUACAUGGCCAUGGCACGAGUCAGGACAAGUCAGGACGUCGCGGGACAUGGUCAUGGCACGAGUCAGGACGGCGCAGGACAUGCACAUUGUUACUUUUUGACGUGGCAGCCAACGUGGAAGAGAUAGUGUUAUACGCACUGACAGCCUCCUGUCAUAAGCAUUUAUUAUACAUGGUUUAAAGGAGUAUUAAGGGUUUGGUUGGCAAAUUGUUGAGUUUGGGGACCGGCAUGACAAAAUGGUACAAGUAUAGGUGUCAUAUAGGCCAUUCUGCCAUGUUUUAUUAACAACUUGUUUGGAUCGUUGUCACCUAUUGUAUCAUAUCGCAUUGUUACUUUAAAUACAAUGUUUGUUUUGAUUGUUACUUAAA